rnacentral:rRNA from 1 species
AGUGAACGCUGGCGGUGUGCCUAACACAUGCAAGUCGAACGGCAGCACAGUAAGAGCUUGCUCUUACGGGUGGCGAGUGGCGGACGGGUGAGGAAUACAUCGGAAUCUACUUUUUCGUGGGGGAUAACGGAGGGAAACUUACGCUAAUACCGCAUACGACCUACGGGUGAAAGCAGUGGAUCUUCGGACCUUUCGCGAUUGAAUGAGCCGAUGUCGGAUUAGCUAGUUGGCGGGGUAAAGGCCCACCAAGGCGACGAUCCGUAGCUGGUCUGAGAGGAUGAUCAGCCACACUGGAACUGAGACACGGUCCAGACUCCUACGGGAGGCAGCAGUAGGGAAUAUUGGACAAUGGGCGAAAGCCUGACGCAGCAAUGCCGCGUGGGUGAAGAAGGUCUUCGGGUCGUAAAGCCCUGUUGUUGGGAAAGAAAAGCUGCAUGAUAAACUACGGAUGUUUUGACGGUACCUAAAGAGAAAGCACCGGCUAACUUCGUG